CGCGGGUGCUGUCCCCACGCUACCGUUUGCCGCCAUUACCGAGCUUUCCCGCGAAAAACUUAUCAUAGACUAUAACACGAAAAAAAAUUAAUCAAGUGUUCCAAAUUAUUAAAAAUGCGUGAAAAAUUAAAAAUGUUUACUUAGAAAUUUAUACAGUUCGUAAUGGGGUGAUUUAUUAAUGAAAAACCGAUAAAUUAAAAUGAAAUAAAUAAUUAAUUUAUUAAAACUUGUAGUGAAUAAAAAACAGUGAAAUAAAAAAGAUGAUUGAUGUUUUAAAAGUUUUUGUGUUACGGACUAGUGAAUGUUCUUGUGAAAAAAAUAAUUUAGAAGAAAAUGGCAUGAAAGAUGAAAAGCGGGCAUGCUGAGCAACUCUUCUAAUCGUUCUAAGAACGUGGCUAAACAUAUCUGCGGGCUACAAAAAUAUGCCAACAAAACAUGUGCCAGAAAUUGGAAUACUGGAAUACAAUGCCUGCCAAGAACGUAAUCUCGAAAUGGCUGCGGGCGAAACAAGGCAAACAUAAACACUCACCAUGGCGCUAGUGAGCAAGUAACUAUCGGAAAAAUAUGAACGCGACCGACCCGGAUGUACUAGUGGCAAGAGGCCAACUGGACGUCCUGUACCGGGGGGCCGAGUACGCGCUGGAUAGCGGUCGAGUAGUCGACGGCACCCUCGACUUCAACCUCACCUUCGACAACACCACCGUGUACAACGUGUCCACCGACCCGGAGGAACCUUGGAACGAAUACAUUAAACUACUCUAUGACAGAGCUUUGCUCGUCUCCUUUCUUCUCCUGUUCUCACUCACUACUGUCUUCGGCAACAUGCUCGUGAUCCUGGCUGUAGUGCGCGAGCGCUACCUUCAUACUUCCACCAACUACUUCGUGACGUCACUAGCGGUGGCGGACUGCCUCGUGGGGCUGGUAGUGAUGCCAUUCUCUGCGCUGUAUGAAGUAUUAGAACACACGUGGUUCUUCGGUGUGGACUGGUGUGACGUGUGGCGGUCCUUAGAUGUGUUGUUUAGUACGGCCUCCAUUUUAAAUCUUUGCGUGAUCUCAUUAGACCGGUACUGGGCCAUUACGGACCCUAUUACAUAUCCUAUGCGUAUGAGUGGACGGAAGGCCGCAUUCCUUAUCGCGGCCGUGUGGGUGUGUUCUGGUGCGAUAUCGUUUCCUGCCAUCGCGUGGUGGCGCGCCGUGCGUGUGGAGGAAGUGCCAGACUAUAAGUGUCCGUUCACGGAAAACUUGGAGUAUAUAAUAUUUUCAUCGACAAUAUCAUUUUAUUUACCUCUGUUUGUGAUGGUGUUCACUUAUUAUCGUAUAUAUCGUGCAGCGACUAUUCAGACGCGGUCCCUUAAAAUUGGCACUAAACAAGUGAUGAGACCUAGUGGUGAAUUAGAGUUGACGUUACGUAUACAUAGAGGAGGGACUGUGCGGCAGCGGAGUGACGCGUGUCACGGAGUGUGUACGCCGGAGGAGGCUGACCAGGAGCCUCUGACGGCGUUACAGAACAAUGGUUUGUCGCGUUCCUCGACGCGACUCACCAAUGUGACGCAUGGGAAACAUUUGCCAAAAAACUUUUCGCUGUCUCGUAAGUUAGCGAAGUUCGCCAAAGAGAAAAAGGCGGCUAAGACGUUAGGUAUAGUGAUGGGUGUGUUCAUAGUGUGUUGGUUGCCAUUCUUCGUGGUGAACCUGCUGUCGGGGAUCUGCUCCGCGUGCAUAGCGCACGAGGAGAUCGUGAACGUGGUGGUCACGUGGCUCGGCUGGGUCAACUCUUCCAUGAACCCCGUCAUCUACGCGUGCUGGAGCAGAGACUUUAGAAGGGCAUUCCUUAGAAUUCUGUGCGUGUGCUGCCCGAGGAAGUUGCGUCGGAAAUAUCAACCGCAGCUACGAUUCAAACAAUCCCAAUUGCGCACGACUCGACGUUAUUACUCAUCGAGUGAACUGAUGGGCAUACAACAGCUCAGACAAAACUCCUGCGAGCAAACUUACAUAUAGCGAAUCAGCUCCAUUUUAUACAUCGCUUCGAUUCUCCUCCAUACUUCCAAGUGCCUUGAUGAAAAUAUUCAAUUCGUAUCUUCCAAAAGUUUCUAGAAUACUUUAUGCGAAUUAGGAGCCAUUCAGAGCCGUGUGCGAAGGAGUGUAAUCUCGGCCGGUGAUAUUAUGUAGACGUUGCUAGACGGUUCGUUCGUCCAGCUCUAGAGAUAGGACCGAGUAGAGUACCCGGUGUCGACGAUGAUGUACUCGUCGGUGUCGCAGCACGAGAUGUGUCGGUUGUGACAUCAGGCGCGCGCGGGCACGUUCCGCGCGCCCCGGGCGCGGUGCUCCUGAUGCAGGGAUCGCCGCUCGUCGCGGUCCAACCGCCGCAGCGGCGACAGGCAGCCGUGCCCGGACCCUUACCGCAUGAGGGCCAUAGAGCACACCUCGUUCGACGAGCCCAUCCAGUGCGUGGAGCGACACAUGUGCGCCGACGUGGUGCCCUACUGCCAGGACUCGGAGUCCGUCAGUGAAGUGAGCCUCGACAGCGAGAGUAGGAACCCCUCGAUCAAACGCAAUGUUAGCAAAAAGAAAGUGACCUACCAAACCAAAGCGGAAGUGAUCUCAAACUAGAUAGUUAUAGUGUUCAAUGUAUAUAUAAGUAUAUAUGUGUAGUAUGUUACGUGUCACGUGGCUGGUUGUUUGAGAUUGUACGGAUCUCUACAUCAUAAUUAAUACAACUUUAUUUUAAUAGUUAUCAAUGUAUAUAACAUUAAAUGAAAAUUGUGACACAUUUUACGUUUCUCACAAUAUGUCUAGUCUUUCAACUUGUCAAUACGAAUCUAAUGUAUAGUUUAGUGUGUAAAUAUGGAUAGCAUCUUAAAUAGCCAGCCAAUUAUUUCUAGUCAUGACUUUCCAGAGGAAAAAAAAUCAAUCAGGAGCUGUGAUUUACUGAUUAGCUGUGUAAAUAUUUUAUGUACAAUGUACAUAUGUAAUGUUUUCAUCUCAAAUAAUGCUUUAGAUCCAUUUAAUUAUGUGAAGUGGUACACACGCUUCCAAACAUUGUAAAUAUUACUUAACCAUUCCAAUACUCGUAGAAUACCAGAAUAUGUUCAAUAAUGUUAAACAAAAUUUUGCUAACUUGAUACACACAUUAUUUUAAGUGUUUUUAUUUAACAUAAUCUAUUUAUUUAAGCUCUAUGUGGGUGUUUCUUCAAAAAACAUUAAACUUUUAUUUAACAAUACAUUAUUCUCUCGCGUUGUUAAGCAUCGUGGUAGCUUAUUACCAUCCUUAUUUUUAUUGGAUUGGUUGAGAGCCGUGUCACAGCUUGAAACCAAAUUUUGACUUUCAAUUGGCAGAAUUGUUAACUUUUGGCUGAGGAUAAUGACGCCGUUAAGUAUUUGUGAUUUUUUUAAGAAUCACCUAUGUGGUUGUUCACGUUGACUCGCAGGCGCGGUCGCGGGCGCGGGAUAUCAACCGUAUGACACAAUAUCCACUUAUUAUCAUGUCAUAAUAUGUUGGUCAUAUACAAAACACAGGUGCGGUGUAAGUAGUCGAUUAUCAUAAUAUCAUUGCUUGAUAUUUCGCGGCCGAUUGUCAGCGCGUACAAACGCUAAGCGAAGGAGGUAGAAAGUACCAUGAUUAUGGCAUUACGUACCAUAAUUUUAUUAUUACAUUAUAUUUUUAAAUAGCAUAACAACUAAAAACUAAUAAGAAUUUGAAAGAAUUUUACAUUUUAGUAAACAAAAUGCAUCACAGAUGUACAACAUUAACAUUUUAAAUGAACCUUGAAUCAAAACUGUUCUUCCAUUACAUAAACAAACUAAGCUAGCAAUUUUGUUUAACAACCUAUUAGGUAAAGGUCUGAAAUAUAAAUAUUGUGUGUGUAAAUAUAAAAAUAAAUGUAAUAUUUUAGUAAUCGAUGUAAUUAUGUAUUUUAAACCUUAAGCUAGUUGGUCUAAAGACUCCUUCCAAAAUGCUGUUAAGUUUUAAAAUAUUACUUUGACGUUGUGCGUUGUCAGUUGUUGUGUCAAAUACCUAUUAUUCCUUUUUAUUGUAACUUUCGUGAGACAUACUAAAUGAAUUAUUAUGUUAUCGGCUUAUACACGUAACUAUUUGACGAGGAACUCGACUAGUUUGAAGCCAUGCUAGAGGCUCAUUUUCAUGUGCAGCAUUCCGCGACUAGUCGAGUUCCUCGUCAAACAGUUACGUGAGUAAACCGAUAACAUAAUAAUUAAAAAUAAUCCCGUUAUAUUUUGAGCUGUGUAUUUAAAAAACAAAUGAAAAACAAUUCUCUCCGUAAUUCGAUUCCUUGCAAAUAAUAAUCGAUGAUCGAUUGAAGUUUUAUUAAACACAAAGUUCGUAAAAUUGUUUAUUUCCCCUCGAUGUAACUUAAGACCAGAAUAAAAUGCAAGGCUUUAUCGUGUAAACUUAUACUUUGGAAAACUUUUUACAGACAAAAAUACAACAUUUCCACGUAAAAAUCUGAAAUGGUGUACCAAAAAAAAAUGUUUAUUUCGACUGGUAUCUCCAAAGUUUAGAAACUUCCUUAUCGUUAUGUAAUUAAUUAUUUUUUUAACUUGUUAUGAAAUCUCCGUCGAGAUUGGGCAGGGUGAAGCCCCUUAGAGUAACCCUGACCUCUCUAAUUUAGGUGAGCAUCAAAGACUGAACAGAACGCUCCCGUUAAAUUAUGUUGAAAAAAAAAUGUGUGUCGUGUAAUUUUUUCUAAUAUUGUUCAUGGAAAAAGUGAGAUAAUUUUGGCAGACAUUGGACAGGCAAAUGAUUAUGUUAAAUAUUUAAUAUAUACGUACAUUCUUCCGUAAAAAAAAUAAUAAUUUACGUGUUGAUUAAUCAUAAAAGUGUUAUAAAAUUGAUUUCGCACAUCACAAUUGAAAAAAAUAUCUCGAAUCUACAUCUAGUCAAUUGAGUAUUAUUUUUUUAUUCUAAUUUUUAUUGGUUCCAUUGGUUUAAUCCUUCGGUGUAUUAUAAUAAUAUAAUUCAUGUACAUAGUUAUUAGAAAGUCAUUUUGUAACCAGUCAAUUUUAAUUUCUUGAUGAUACAUUUUGAAAAGUACAUUGGUAUUCGUCGAGGAAAUAAUAAUGAACGUUUAUACAAAUACAUAGAAAAAGUAAAAUGAGGUAGAAUUGUCUAGAGGGUUGUAUAAAUACCAUAAAUGUGUCCGAUCUAGUCGUUUUUAAAUUUUUAUUGCCUUGAAGACUACUUAAAUCAAUUUAAAAAAACCAAAAUGUCCUCCAUACAACAAACAUGAUGCUUUAAACUGAAUCAUUAAAAUUGAUUUCAAAAUAAUUACUUAUUGGAAGUCAGUUAAUAAACAUACCUCGAUCAGAUUUCAACCUUAUGACUAGUCAAAGAAGACUUCUAUUCCAAUAAAUCUCUCGAUAGUUUCUAACCUAAUUGUCAUACCAGUGUGCCUGUCUUAUACAUACGGUCGACUGCACAUCAAUGCUAAAAAUCUACCCUACUGCUCUUGAAAUAAAGUCUAAAAUGUAAUCACUGAUCUGCAGUCGAUUGUAUGCAGUAGUACCUAAAUCUGUACAUAACUACUCAGGUAAUAAAACUUACUAUAAAUGUGUACUUCUCACUACAGCUAGGUUAUAAAUAAAUAAUAUUUCAAUAUUGUGAAUAAAUUAUAUCUAUAUGUAAAACUAAUUUGAAAUGGGUUGUCGUAUAAAUUUAUAUAAAGUAUU